AUACUCGUUUUGGCAGUACAUAUACUAAAAUUGGAACAAUACAGAGGAGAUGAGCAUGGCCCCUGCGCAAGGAUAACAUGCAAAUUCGUGAAGUGUUUCAUAUGUCU
ensembl:snRNA LOC120094982 U6 spliceosomal RNA